CGGAGAGCGUCCCCACCGACUUACUCAGAGAAGGUAUUUCUUGGGACGUACCAGGAAGCUUGUGGAGAUGACCGGAAGGCAGGAAAACCAGCGGAGAAAAGAGCGACCUUGGAACCGGGGGUCUGGAAGGGCUGGGUAGUUCGGACAGCCCGCUGCCUGCCUGCCUGGCCAGGUGCUUUGGCCCGCGAGGAAGGGCAGAGUCAUCGCACACAGGUGCAGACAAGUCCCAGCUGUCAGGAAGCCCUGAGCACCUGGUCCCUGGGGGCCCCCCCCCCCCCCCCCCCCCCGCCAGCUUCUGGUCUCCCCUGCAUUGAUUCCAAUGUGAACUUCCCGAAGACUCCUACCAAAACCCUCACGCGCAAUUCUCGAGACCCUGCCUGGCGCUCCAGGUUUUGGACAUCGGGCCGUUGCCCGCCUCCCUGCACAGCCCGUCUUCACUCGGUUCCCUGCCGACACCGCUCGCUGGGUCACCGGACCGGUGACACUCACGGCUGUCCCGCUUCCUGGGGCCUCCCCUUCCGGCCCUUGUCACACAACAGCACGCAGACCUGUCUCCCUGGCCCGGCGCCCUUGUCCGUCCCAGUGCUGGCUGCACCGGGCCCCCUCCGGCCGCCCAGUUCCCUCUGCUCUGCCUGCACGGCUCCUUCCUCUCCCCCAAGGGCUGGGCCUUCCUGCCCCGGGGCUGCUGCACCUGCUGCGGGGAGGCCCCCCUCAAACCUCACUGCCAGUUUGAGUGUCCCGGUCAUUCUGGCUUAUUCACAUGUCUACGGUAAAUCGUGUCCCCGUCACCCUGUUCCGUUUCCUUCGUGGCACUCGUCACUACCUGCACCGUCCCCCUCCUCUCCGGACCCCCCGGGCCCUAGUGACCACCAGGGCGGGGCCCCAUCCGGCCGGAGACCGUGCGUGCCUGUGUGGGACUGGGUCCCGAGCAGGUCCCUGUGUCUCAGGUGGACGGGUGGGGUGACGGCGGCCUCGUGCCUGCCCCUCCUCGGCUGUGCCAGCAGCCGGCGAGCACUCUUAUUCCCAGCGGACCUUCGCCCACGUUCCUCGGGGCUGAAGCAGCCCUCUGCUAGCCUAGCUGGUGCUGCCGGCAGCCCGGGAGCCUUGCCCGGAGAGCACGCGAAGGUUUUUUCUUUUGCCGUCUUGCCACCAGACAAGGGACGUCCGCUGCAGGUGACCGGGCGUCCGUACCGUGUUUUAACGCCCAAGUCCUCGUCCCUAACUUCAGAAUCCCUACGUUACAGACGGGCCUCUGCUCGUCAACAGCGGCUUGGGGCAGAAGCGGGGAGCCGGCCGGCCAGGAGUCACGGGUAA
rnacentral:lncRNA from 1 species